UACGGGGGGGAGCAAGCGUUGUUCGGAUUUACUGGGCGUAAAGGGCGCGUAGGCGGUCGUGACAAGUCACUUGUGAAAUCUCCGGGCUUAACUCGGAACGGUCAAGUGAUACUGUCGGACUAGAGUACAGAAGGGGCAACUGGAAUUCUCGGUGUAGCGGUGAAAUGCGUAGAUAUCGAGAGGAACACCGAUGGCGAAGGCAGCCCCCUGGGUCAAGACUGACGCUCAUGCACGAAAGCGUGGGGAGCAAACAGG
rnacentral:rRNA from 1 species